rnacentral:misc_RNA from 1 species
UCGUAACAAGGUUUCCGUAGGUGAACCUGCGGAAGGAUCAUUACUGAGUGAGGGCCCUCUGGGUCCAACCUCCCACCCGUGUUUAUUGUACCUUGUUGCUUCGGUGCGCCCGCCUCACGGCCGCCGGGGGGCUUCUGCCCCCGGGUCCGCGCGCACCGGAGACACUAUUGAACUCUGUCUGAAGAUUGCAGUCUGAGCAUAAACUAAAUAAGUUAAAACUUUCAACAACGGAUCUCUUGGUUCCGGCAUCGAUGAAGAACGCAGCGAAAUGCGAUAACUAAUGUGAAUUGCAGAAUUCAGUGAAUCAUCGAGUCUUUGAACGCACAUUGCGCCCCCUGGUAUUCCGGGGGGCAUGCCUGUCCGAGCGUCAUUGCUGCCCUCAAGCACGGCUUGUGUGUUGGGCUCCGUCCCCCCGGGGACGGGUCCGAAAGGCAGCGGCGGCACCGAGUCCGGUCCUCGAGCGUAUGGGGCUUUGUCACCCGCUCUGUAGGCCCGGCCGGCGCCAGCCGACAACCAAUCAUCCUUUUUUCAGGUUGACCUCGGAUCAGGUAGGGAUACCCGCUGAACUUAAGCAUAUCA